AACGGAGAGGACAAGUGUUAUUCGUAUUGACUGGGUGUAAAGGGUGCGUAGGUGGCUGUUUAAGUUAAGGAUAGAUUUAGACAUUCUUAUACUAUACGGCUAGAGUUAUAGGGAGGAGUGCGGUACUCUUGGUCUAGAAGUGACAUUCGUUUGAAAUCAAGAGGACCAACAAUAGGCGAUGGCUGCAUUUCAUUUAUAUAUACUGACACUGAGGCACGAAAGCGUGGGGAGCGAACGGG
rnacentral:rRNA from 1 species